rnacentral:tRNA from 1 species
GGGCGGUUAGCUCAGUGGUAGAGCACUACCUUGACAUGGUAGGGGUCGCAGGUUCGAACCCUGCAUCGCCCACCA